AGUUUCUCUUUCCUUGAAGUGUUUGUGAAAUAAGCUGUUUUAAGAGCUGCUUUCAGCUGGUACUUCUUCUAAAAAUUGGUUGCAGAAACUACUAUUGAGGCAAAAAGAGGCAGUUGUCUGUUUUGAAGCUGCAUGUGGUGUUAACUGGAUGUUGAACAACAUCCAGUUGUUGAAUUUUGUGCAUUUUAACCCUGAAGUAAAACCUUGGCCUGAAUAGGACUAAUUUUAAUUACCUUUUUUAAUGCAGUUCUGGCUUGGUGUAUAUGAUUGUUUAAAAUCAGUGCAGUGAGUUAACUUCUGUUGUAUUUUUCUAUAGGUGUACUGGAAGCUUCCUUUAACAGAUUUAUUCCUUCAUCAGGUAUUUCCUGUUUGUGUACAGUUUACUUGCACAUGUUGAAGACUUGCAUGAUUAAUAUAAAGAGUUUCAUCAGCACUACAAAAUAUGACUUGAAUCCUAGAGAAUUACGUCCAUCCCUUACAAAUAAAUAACCUGCUCCAGUUCCACCAAUUCCAAAUGAACAGCAGUUGGCCAGAUUGACUGACUAUGUGGCUUUCCUUGAAAAUUGAUGAACCUGCUUCUUUGUCUAGCGCAACUUGGGAAUCCUGUGUACUGACAGUUCUAGAAAUCUAAGACCUAUUUUGUAUUUGUUAAAUGUUGCAGCAUCCCCUUUCAAAUGUGUAAAGUAUACAGUGUAUGUUAUCCUAGUUUGUUUUGCCAAAGCCAAGCUAGCAAUUGAAACAAUCCUUUAACUUCUGUAAUACUUGUUUAGUAGGUACACAGCAGUAUUACCCAGUAGGUUUUCUAUUUUUACUGACUUGUAGCCAAGAGAUGCAGAACUUUUUUCAGGUGUAUCAAAAGUGAAGAAGAAAAUCUUGAGUAAUGAGACAGGUUAAUGGUAUGAGGGGGUUAAUGUUACUUGGUUACACGCUUCUUUGGUGAGCACUGCAGUGCUUAGUGCAGGUCAGUUGCUGUUCAUCUAAAGUACAAAGUGACAGAUGCUCUACCUGCAUUUGUAGAGAAUGUUCUGAUGAAACAGUAACAAAGCAACUUACAGUAACUCUUUUGGAUGUCUUUGACAAUUUUC
rnacentral:lncRNA from 1 species